GAUGAACGCUAGCGAUAGGCUUAACACAUGCAAGUCGAGGGGCAGCAUGGUCUUAGCUUGCUAAGGCUGAUGGCGACCGGCGCACGGGUGCGUAACGCGUAUGCAACUUGCCUCACAGAGGGGGAUAACCCGUCGAAAGACGGACUAAUACCGCGUACACUCUAUGUUGGGCAUCCAAUGUAGAGGAAAUGAAAUUCGCUGUGAGAUAGGCAUGCGUCCCAUUAGCUAGUUGGUGAGGUAACGGCUCACCAAGGCGACGAUGGGUAGGGGAACUGAGAGGUUGAACCCCCACACUGGUACUGUGACACGGACCAGACUCCUACGGGAGGCAGCAGUGAGGAAUAUUGGUCAAUGGGCGAGAGCCUGAACCAGCCAAGUCGCGUGAAGGAUGACUGUCUUAUGGAUUGUAAACUUCUUUUAUACGGGAAUAACAAGAGUCACGUGUGGCUCCCUGCAUGUACCGUAUGAAUAAGCAUCGGCUAACUCCGUG
rnacentral:rRNA from 1 species